GAUGAACGCUGGCGGCGUGCCUAAUACAUGCAAGUCGAGCGAACGGACGAGAAGCUUGCUUCUCUGAUGUUAGCGGCGGACGGGUGAGUAACAAGUGGAUAACCUACCUCUAAGACUGGGAUAACUUCGGGAAACCGGAGCUAAUACCGGAUAAUAUUUUGAACCGCAUGGUUCAAAAGUGAAAGACGGUCUUGCUGUCACUUAUAGAUGGAUCCGCGCUGCAUUAGCUAGUUGGUAAGGUAACGGCUUACCAAGGCAACGAUGCAUAGCCGACCUGAGAGGAUGAUCGGCCACACUGGAACUGAGACACGGUCCAGACUCCUACGGGAGGCAGCAGUAGGGAAUCUUCCGCAAUGGGCGAAAGCCUGACGGAGCAACGCCGCGUGAGUGAUGAAGGUCUUCGGAUCGUAAAACUCUGUUAUUAGGGAAGAACAUAUGUGUAAGUAACUGUGCACAUCUUGACGGUACCUAAUCAGAAAGCCACGGCUAACUACGUG
rnacentral:rRNA from 1 species